GGUGGAGGGGAUGUGGUGUGUUGGGUUGUGGUGUUGUGGUGCAUAACAUUUGGUAGUAUUGCUCCCCUUUUUAUGUCAACUUUCACAUACAUUUUCACUUUAUUUUGACUUUGGCCCUUCAAGUCUAGUAUUCUAUUUCUGCAUGUGGUUAUGCUGUCUGUUGUCAUAUUUAUUUUAACUGUGAAAUUAUUUGUACAAUGCAAUACAAGAUAUCAUUUGCUAAAUGCAUAAAUAUCUGUUCUGUGUCAUAUAUGAUUGGACUUUAUAAUUAUGCUGUCUAAUUAAUUUUCUUUUCCUGUUUUCUGUUGAAAUCAAAGUAGACAUUUUUGCGACAGACGGUAACUUUAGCCUCUUCUGGAA
rnacentral:misc_RNA from 1 species